UGGGGAAUUUUGGACAAUGGGCGAAAGCCUGAUCCAGCAAUGCCGCGUGUGUGAAGAAGGCCUUCGGGUUGUAAAGCACUUUUGUCCGGAAAGAAAUCCUUGGCUCUAAUACAGUCGGGGGAUGACGGUACCGGAAGAAUAAGCACCGGCUAACUACGUGCCAGCAGCCGCGGUGAUACGUAGGGUGCAAGCGUUAAUCGGAAUUACUGGGCGUAAAGCGUGCGCAGGCGGUUUGCUAAGACCGAUGUGAAAUCCCCGGGCUCAACCUGGGAACUGCAUUGGUGACUGGCAGGCUAGAGUAUGGCAGAGGGGGGUAGAAUUCCACGUGUAGCAGUGAAAUGCGUAGAGAUGUGGAGGAAUACCGAUGGCGAAGGCAGCCCCCUGGGCCAAAUACUGACGCUCAUGCACGAAAGCGUGGGGAGCAAACAGGAUUAGAUACCCGUGGUAGUCCAGCGCCCUAAACGAUGUCAACUAGUUGUU
rnacentral:rRNA from 1 species